CCUCUCAUUCUCGUUCCUCUCUUGCUCUAUCUCUUUCACGAUAAAACAAAAACCAGAAGAAGAACUUUCUUCUCUCUCGAUCGUUCAUGGAUCUCUCUCUCUUGGUUGAACAACAACAACAAGCUUUCACUUUGUUUCUUUCUCUCUCAGCGAACAACUAAACAGCGACUCUCUCUAUCUCUCGGUUCCUAUGAACAACAGCAACAACAUCGCUCAACUACUCUCGGAUUCGCGGUUUCUCUCGAGCUCAUAGUCUCUCUCACGAAGAACAACGAUGAAGACAACCUCAUCUUGGUUUCUCUCAGCGAUGAGCAAUAACAACAAUCUGAAAACCCCUUUUUACCUCGGUUCACGGCGGCUAUGGAAGAGUUCAUUAAAGAUUUACAAGUACAGCAAUAAUUAACAGCGAGAUUAAGAGUGAAGGCAGGAUCGACUUACCUACAGCGAGGAGGAUUUCGCUGGUUAUUGUUUGAGGUACAACAAUGGUUAAUGGAAAUAUUAAGAGUGAAAGCAGAGAGACUUACCUGUGGUUCAUCUACGGAGGCUCGAAGAUGGGAGACAUCAUCGAAGGCUGCUAGCAAGCAAGGUAUGCAGUUUUCUCUUCUCCCUCUUACCUUUGUAUUUUUCUGUAACUUAGAAAUUACAGACUGCUGGCUCUUUUCUCCCCUGUUUUUCUUCUUUUUUGUAACUUAGGAGUGACAGAAAGUUUCUGUCUGAACUCUCCCCUUUUUCUGCCUGUUCUAUAUUUUCUUGCCUCUCCUCUAUUUAUAGAGGAACAAAUGAAGGACAAUUUUUGGUCAUUUUGGAACCAAAGCUUAGCCCUUAAGCUCACUUAGUUACUAAGUUUUCAUCAUUGCAAAGAAUAUUCUUUCCAAAAUAAUCAUUGCAAAGUUUCUUUCAUGCUAAGUUUGCUUAAUGGCAAAGCUCCACAAAUUUGUGCACAUGGGAUAGAAUAUUAUGCACAUGGGAGGGAAUAUAUUCUUCAUAACUCUUGCAAGUGAAAGUUCCACGACAUAACUUGUCUUCAUGUCAUGAAAUUGGUAGUCUCUAAGUAUAGCACUUAUGACAUAAUAUAUUCCUCUUUGACUUUGUUUGACUUUUUUGACUUUUCCUUUUUCCUUUUUUUUUUCGAAAAAGAUGGCCUCCAUGUGGGCUUUUGGGCUUUUUUGAAUUAUUUAUUUGACUUUUGCUAAUUCCACCCUUUUUGUUUCUUUUUCAUGUGAAUGAGUAUUCUUGAAGAGAAAGCAUGAAGAAACUUGAACUUGAAGAAUGUAAACUUGGAGAUUGAAGAAUUCAAGAAAUCAUUGGAGACUUUUCUUUUCUUUUGUUCUUGUAGUUCCAAUAGAACUUUAACUUUAGAAGUUGCAUGAACUUGGACUUUGUAUCAAUGUAAUUUUGGUUCAUGCAUUCUUGAAAAUUUGUGUAGAAUUUGAAUGUUGUAUCUUGAAUUUUGGAAUGUAAUCUUCAAUCUUGGAUAAAGUCCACUUGUAAUUCAUUUGGAAAUUUGGAAUUGUUCAUGUAAAAGAACAUCAUUUGUAAUGCUUAAACUCCUUUUAGAAUCUUGAAUGACAUUGUAUGGAAUUUGAAUUCCUUUGAAACAUUGAAAACUUGAAUGAUUCCUUUUGAAAGGAAAUGGUGGAAUACCCUUGAAGUAGU